UCCAUGAAAAAUGAGGAUUGACUGAUUGUCUUGCCAUAAAUUGUGCAUACUUAAAGAUAUACUCAGGCUGAAACUUGUGCUUUUUUACCAUUUUAUGGACUAACCAAGAUUUUGUGAGGACUUUGGUGGAGUCUGGGAUGUUUCAUUCAGCCAGGUGCAUAUGAUCAGGGGCAAAUUCAGUCAUCUGUGAGUCACAAGAUCUGGGGUGGGUUAUCAGUGGGGCUGGGCUUUGAAUGAUGGUUGGAUGGACAGAGAAAGGGUGUGAUUUCUGAGGGCACAGCAAGUGCAGGAAAAGCAGAUAGGACCAUGGGUAGCUGAGCUCCACACAUGGUUCUCUGUGACUGCGUCUGAGCCAAGGAGUUGAAUGAGACCUGCAUGGAGUGAUUUGGGGCUGUGGUUGCUAACAGGAACCAUGGGAAGUCUGUAGUCAUACUGGAUCCUCUCUGAAUUUGUCAAGGAUAUUCUGGAUGCUGUCUGCCAAGUUGUGUUGUAAGUUCUAAAAUUAAGGCCAAUAGGUAUGCUGCCUUGACAUCUGGUGAAACAAGUAUGCCCUCAAAUGGCCGUGGUGCAAGUUUCCCUUCUCAUGCUUCUCACAGCAGGAUGGCGUGACCUUUGAAGAUGUGGCUGUGACAUUUUCCGGGGAGGAAUGGGGUCUCCUUGAUGAGUCUUGGAGAUGCCUGUAUUGUGAUGUGAAGCUGGAGAACUUGGCACUUACAGCCUCCCUGGUACACGGGCCUCUCACUGUUUCAGCCUCUCCCGUUGUGGAGCACAGGCUCCGGACGCACAGGCCCAGUGGCCAUUGCUCACGGGCCCAGCUUCUCCACAGCAUGUGGGAUCUUCCCGGACCAGGGCACGAACCUGUGUCCCCUGCAUCAGCAGGUGGACUCUCAACCACUGUGCCACCAGGGAAUCCCUUUGUGAUAUUAUUAAAGGUCCUAAUUGAAUGGAAAAUGCAAAAAAAAAAAAGAAAAAGAAAAAUGAAACAAAUGUCUGUACCUUGUGUAUCCCACUGCAAACACUACUUCCACUUUCCCCCCAAGAGGUAUGUACUAACAUGAGUUUCUAGUUCAGUCUUUCCUGACUUUUCUAUAUGGUUUCAUAUGUAUGAAUCCCUACCUAAUAUAAUUUCUAGAUUGUAUAUCUUUGAACAUGAAAUCAAUAGUAUAUUUAUUUUAAGUGUAUUUAUUUAUUUUUGGCUGUGUUGGGUCUUUGUUGCUGUGCACAGGCUUUCUUUAGUUGCGGCGAACGAGGGCUACUCUUCACUGUGGUGCGUGGGCUUCUCAUUGCUGUGGCUUCUUGUGUAGUAUGGAC